CUCCUAUUUCUAGUUAAAAGAUUUUUAACUUAAAUCCCACGUCACGAAAUUAAAAAUAAAAAUAUAAAUUACGUAACGCCCAAUUAGCUCUUUCCAUAUUCUCCAUUACCCGAAACCCUAAUCCCCAAAUUUCUCUUCCAAUCACAAAUAUCUGAGAAAAAUUCGAAAAUUUCCGGCGAUCAAGUCUCUCCUCCAGACAUUCCACAAGUUUUAUAAUGAGAUUCAAAAAAGGAAGUAGAGUUGAGGUGUUUAGCAACAAGGAGGCACCUUACGGUGCGUGGCGAUGCGCUGAGAUCAUCUCGGGGAAUGGACACACCUACAACGUUAGGUACUUCUCUUUCCACGAGGAGGCUGUCAUGGAGAGAGUUCCAAGGAAGGUGAUCAGGCCGUGUCCUCCGCAAGUUGAUGUGGAGCGAUGGGAGGCUGGUGAGUUGGUGGAGGUUCUUGAUAGCUUCUCAUGGAAAGCUGCUACCGUUCGACAGGAGCUGUGUGGGAACUACUAUGUGGUUCGGUUGCUUGGGACUCCAGCUGAGUUUACGUUUCACAAGGCUAACGUCAGGGUCAGACAGUCGUGGCAGGAUGAGAGAUGGGUUGCCAUUGGAAAGAUAUCAGGUUCUGUGAAGUCAUCCUUACUGACUGGAUCAGACGUGCAACGGAAGCUGAAGCCCCAAGUGAACAGCAAACGUCUACAGGAGCCUAGUGUUGUCGUCUCUGCUAGAAUGUUGAAGAGGCCGUCACCUAACAACUGGCCUGAGUGUGCUGAAUCAUGCACUGGAAACACUAAGAAGAUACGAUCACUGGAAGCGCCUUCCUCUAAGAAUCGCGAAACUGGUUGCUGUCAAAUGGUCAGGGUAAGAUCAAAAGGUUCUAGCGAGAGUGUUCGUGCAGGAAGCUUAGUCGCUGAUGAUUGUUACGAUAACGAUUCAUCUUCAGUUGGUAGUUGUAGCGCUGCUAGUGAUGAUGAUGAGAGUAACAUGCCGCCUUGUAUGCUAGAUGGCUCUGGACCACAGGCAGACUCAUGUAGCAGCGAGGGUGAAUCUUUUUGCGGCCUUAGGGAAGAAGCAAGGCGGAAGCAUUCAGUAGCUGGUGGUGAUGGAGUAAGAAGGUCGUGUAGGUCAGAACUAUUUACUUACCGCAGUACAUUGGGGGACUUAUUCGCUUCCGGUCCCUUGAGUUGGGAACAAGAAACAUCAUUAACUGAUCUCCGUCUUUCUCUUAAUAUAUCAGAUGAUGAACAUUUGAUGGAGGUAAAAAAUUUGAUAUCUGCUGGUACCCGCAGUCAAUUUUGCUAGUAUCAAUCAGAAAUUAAUUCUUUUUCUUUUUGUCCUGGCCAUAUUUGCCUGCAACGUGGAAUCAUUCAACUGUCAUAUAUCGUUUCUUUCCCAGUGGAUUUGAUAUUGAGUGUAUAGUCACAGCAGAAUAUAAGAACAUUGUCGCCUUGUCCGAGGCAUGCAAGACCUUUUGCUUUUAGAGGUUUAACUCUGAUGCUGGGGUUUACGACUUCUCCCUUUUGGCCAUAUGAAUGGUGCAAUACCAUUCCCGUUCUUCAAAAACGUAACUGGCUUUUAUGCUAUUUUCAUUUUGUCGCUAUCUUGAUAUGGCGACUUAUUGCAGGUGUCCUGGAGUUUGGCUUUGUCCACAGGGAUAGAAAGCUGUGGUGCUUUGAGCAGGUUUUCUAACUAUUAUUAGGCGCAUAGUCCAUUCUUUUUGGAAAUAAGCUUUGUGGCUUGGUGAGAGGUAAGAGUGAAAUGGCUUUGAAUAGGGUUAAUGCUCAUCUAGACAACGUGUUGAUUCCUUAUUCUGAUUUGUUCUCAUGUCUUGCUUCCAUAUAUCUUUGGACUAUGGAAGGGAAGAUGUCCUCACAUUUUUGCUUAGUUAGUCGCCUAUGCGCUGUGAAAAUUCUCCAAACUCACUCUUCAGAUCUCUCUAGCAAAGCUAGUUGUUUACAAUGUUGUCUUAACUCCAAGAGGACAUGUUAGCAUCAACAACAUGAGAAAGUAAAAGCAAUCAAGUCAUGUACUUGCAAGUUCAUUUUUUUAUAUUAAACACAAUGCCCUCCCUCACUGGAUGAUAGAUUUGUGUUAUGUUUGUAAUGAAGUUGAUUAAUACUAUUUUAUUAUCUUGAGAUGUA